CCUACGGGCGGCUGCAGUAAGGAAUAUUGGUCAAUGGACGAAAGUCUGAACCAGCCAUCCCGCGUGCAGGAUGAAAGCCCUAUGGGUUGUAAACUGCUUUUAGCAGAGAAGAAAAGCUUUCAUUAAUGAGAGUCUGACGGUAUCUGCAGAAUAAGCACCGCUAACUCCGUGCCAGCAGCCGCGGUAAUACGGAGGGUGCGAGGGUUAUCCGGAUUUAAUGGGUUUGAAGGCUGCGUAGUAAGAGAGUUGUGAAAUCUUGUCGCUUAACGAUAAAAUUGCCAAUGAUACUGGUACUCUUGAAUUGGGUUGAGGUUAGCGGAAUGUGACAUGUAGCGGUGAAAUGCAUAGAUAUGUCAUGGAACACCAAUUGCGAAGGCAGCUAACUGGGCCUUGAUUGACGCUGAGGCACGAAAGCGUGGGUAGCGAACAGGAUUAGAUACCCCAGUAGUC
rnacentral:rRNA from 1 species